UACAUGUGGGGCAAGCGUUGUUCGGAAUUACUGGGCAUAAAGGGUGCGCAGGCGGGCUGGUAAGUCUGGGGUGAAAUCUCGCCGCUUAACGGCGAAACUGCCUUAGAUACUAUCAGUCUUGGAUAAGCGAGAGGUUCGUGGAAUUCCGAGUGUAGCAGUGAAAUGUGUAGAUAUUCGGAAGAACACCAGUGGCGAAGGCAGCGAACUGGCGCUUUAUCGACGCUCAGGCACGAAAGCAUGGGGAUCAAACAGG
rnacentral:rRNA from 1 species